rnacentral:rRNA from 1 species
ACGAACGCUGGCGGCGUGCUUAACACAUGCAAGUCGAACGGAAAGGCCCUGCUUUUGUGGGGUGCUCGAGUGGCGAACGGGUGAGUAACACGUGAGUAACCUGCCCUUGACUUUGGGAUAACUUCAGGAAACUGGGGCUAAUACCGGAAAGGAGCUCCUGCUGCAUGGUGGGGGUUGGAAAGUUUCGGCGGUUGGGGAUGGACUCGCGGCGUAUCAGCUUGUUGGUGGGGUAGUGGCUUACCAAGGCUUUGACGGGUAGCCGGCCUGAGAGGGUGACCGGCCACAUUGGGACUGAGAUACGGCCCAGACUCCUACGGGAGGCAGCAGUGGGGAAUAUUGCACAAUGGGCGGAAGCCUGAUGCAGCAACGCCGCGUGCGGGAUGACGGCCUUCGGGUUGUAAACCGCUUUCGCCUGUGACGAAGCGUGAGUGACGGUAAUGGGUAAAGAAGCACCGGCUAACUACGUG